UCUUGUCUAAAGUGUUUUAGACGAAAAGGAAGUCGAAGGUCAAGAACAUCGACUGCCCAUUCCAUACAGAAGGUCAGAAAAAUCCAUGUCUUGCCAAAGAACACUGUAUCCCCAACAAUGGAGUCAGUUGAAGUCAAUUGGAAAUGCUAAAACAACCAGGAAUGAUAAUAGCAGCCGUUUGGGGAAGUAUAUUGAGAUUGGCUUUGAUAAGAGGUUUCGAAUCAUUGAUGCCAAUAUGAGAACUUACCUUCUAGAGAAGUCCAGAGUGGUAUUCCAGGCAGAAGAGGAGAGAAACUAUCAUAUCUUCUAUCAACUUUGUGCCUCAGCAAAUAUACCUGAAUUUAAAAUGCUGCGAUGAGGAAAUGCAAAUAACUUUCAUUAUACCAAUCAAGGAGGUGGCCCUGUGAUGGAAGGAGUGGGUGAUGCAAAGGAGAUGGCACCCACAAGGCGGGCCUGCCCAU